rnacentral:rRNA from 1 species
AGAGUUUGAUCAUGGCUCAGAAUCAACGCUGGCGGCGGCUUAACACAUGCAAGUCGAACGAGAAAGGGGAGCAAUCCCUGAGUACAGUGGCGUACGGGUGAGUAACACGUGGAUGAUCUAUCUCUUAGUGGGGAAUAGCCCUGGGAAACCGGGGAUAAUACCGCAUAAGCUCGAGAGAGGAAAGCAGCAAUGCGCUGAGAGAGGAGUCCGCGGCCGAUUAGCUAGUUGGCAGGGUAAGAGCCUACCAAGGCAGAGAUCGGUAGCCAGCCUGAGAGGGCACACGGCCACACUGGCACUGAAACACGGGCCAGACUCCUACAGGAGGCAGCAGUGGGGAAUCUUGCACAAUGGGAACAACCCUGAUGCAGCGACGCCACGUGAGCGAUGAAGCCCUUCGGGAUGUAAAGCUCUUUCGGCAGGGAAGAUAAUGACGGUACCUGCAGAAGCAGCUGCGGCUAACUACGUGCCAGCAGCCGCGGUAAUACGUAGGCAGCGAGCGUUGUUCGGAGUUACUGGGCGUAAAGGGUGUGUAGGCGGUUGUUUAAGUUUGGUGUGAAAUCUCCCGGCUCAACUGGGAGGGUGCGCCGAAUACUGAAUGACUUCGAGUACGGGAGAGGUGAGUGGAAUUCCUGGUAUAGCGGUGAAAUGCGUAGAUAUCAGGAGGAACACCGGUGGUGUAGACGGCUCACUGGACCGUAACUGACGCUGAGACACGAAAGCGUGGGUAGCAAACAGGAUUAGAUACCCUAGUAGUCC